UACGGAGGGGGUUAGCGUUGUUCGGAAUGACUGGGCGUAAAGCGCGCGUAGGCGGAUCAUCAAGUCGGGGGUGAAAUCCCGGGGCUCAACCCCGGAAUGGCCUUCGAGACUGGUGGUCUUGAGUUCGAGAGAGGUGAGUGGAAUUCCGAGUGUAGAGGUGAAAUUCGUAGAUAUUCGGAGGAACACCAGUGGCGAAGGCGGCUCACUGGCUCGACACUGACGCUGAGGUGCGAAAGCGUGGGGAGCAAACAGGAUUAGAAACCCCCGUAGUCC
rnacentral:rRNA from 1 species